rnacentral:rRNA from 1 species
UCGAGAGGCUUCCACAAUGGGGGAAACCCUGAUGGAGCGACGCCGCGUGGGUGAAGACGGCCUUCGGGUUGUAAAGCCCUUUCGGCAGGGAAGAAUAGGUGCGGGGUGAAUAAUCCUGCGCCUGAGACUGUACCUGCAUAAGAAGCUCCGGCUAACUCCGUGCCAGCAGCCGCGGUAAUACGGGGGGAGCAAGCGUUGUUCGGAAUUACUGGGCGUAAAGGGCGUCUAGGCGGGCCGGUAAGUCAGAUGUGAAAUCCCUCGGCUUAACCGUGGACUUGCAUUUGAUACUGUCGGUCUUGAGUUCGAGAGAGGGGAGCGGAAUUCCUGGUGUAGCGGUGGAAUGCGUAGAUAUCAGGAAGAACACCGGUGGCGAAGGCGGCUGCCUGGCUCGUAACUGACGCUAAAGCGCGAAAGUGUGGGGAGCGAACA